GGCAGGCGUGGUGGCACAUGCCUGCAGUCCCAGCUACACCGGAGACUGAGACUGGAGGAUCGAUUGAGUCUAGGAGUUCUAGGCUGUAGUGCGAUAUGCCAAUCGGGUGUGCACACUAAGUUCAGCAUCAAUAUGGUGACCUCCAGAGAGGUAGGGGGAGGGCACCAGGUUGCCUAAGGAGGGGUGAACCGGUCCAGGUCAGAAAUGGAGCAGGUCAAAACUCCCGAGCUUCCAUAGGGGCAUCUACAAAAUCUCUCAUAUUCUUUGGGAUAUGGCGUAGGCCAACUCCCUUGUGUCUA
ensembl:misc_RNA Metazoa_SRP Metazoan signal recognition particle RNA